AGGCGUCUAGUUUAUUUAGAAUGUUGUCCUGUGGAGACAAAGGAAGCCAAAGCUGGCGCUUC
rnacentral:tRNA from 1 species